GUCAGGGGUCGCACUAAAGGCCACCAGGGGCCGCCAGUGGCCUGUGGGCCUUGCCAUGAAGAACACCGUCAUCACUGCCAUUUCAUCACUCUUCUUCGCUAACGGCAAUCAUCAAUGAGACUACCGCCGACAAGCGGGGCACUUGAAAGGCAACGCAGUGGAGCUUGAUUCGCGUGCACCGAGACACCAAAGGGCAUUUGUGUUCGCAAGUCGUCUGAGUAUCACCUAUGUUUCCACGUGUGCUGCUGGACGGGAGGUGAUGGGCGGAGCUUGGUGACAUCACUGGCAUGUUCCGGCUCAUCACACUGGGUGUUGCAUGUGCAGCGGGUUACCUGCCUUCAUGAGGCAGGAUAUUGGGGUGGCCACCAUCUUUCAAGGGCUCCAAAUAAAUUGUCCACA